rnacentral:sRNA from 1 species
CCCAGCUGCUGCAGUACAUGGAGCGAUACGGGAAGCGUUUGAAGGCCAAGAACCUGAUGUACCUGAAGCAGAUCCUGUAUUUGCUGGAGAAAUUCGUGGCUGUGCUAGGGGGGAACAUUAAGCAAAAUCCCAAUACACAGAGUCUGUCACAGACAGGGACGGAGCUGAAGACCAUCAACGACUUUCUCUUCCAGAGCCGGAUCGACAACAUCAACCUGUUCAAGGUGCAGCGAUACUGUGAGAAGAGCAUGAUCAGCAGAAAGCUCUUUGGAUUCACUGAACGGUACGGAGCAGUGUUCUCAUCCCGGGAGCAGCCCAAACUGGCUGGGUUUCAGCAAUUCCUGCAGAGCCUGCAGCCCAGGACGACUGAAGCUCUUGCAGCCCCUGCAGACGAGAGUCAGGCCAGCACCCCCCGACCAGCUUCCCCACUGAUGCACAUCGAAGGCUUCCUGGCAGCUCUCACUACGGCCAACCAGGACGGCAGGGUCAUCCUGAGCCGCCAAGGCAGCCUCAGUCAGAGCACUCUGAAGUUUUUGCUCCUGAAUCCAGCUGUGCACUUUGCCCAAGUGGUGAAGGAAUGCCGGGCAGUGGUCAUUGCCGGGGGGACCAUGCAGCCGCCCAGACUUCUCGCUUCCUUUCUGCUGGGCCUCUG